rnacentral:rRNA from 1 species
CAAUAGCGUAUAUUAAAGUUGUUGCAGUUAAAAAGCUCGUAGUUGGAUUUCUGGUGGGAGCGAUCGGUCUGGCGCUUAGCGCGAGUACUUGCAUCGUCUCCGGCCAUCCUUGGGGAGAGUCUGUCUGGCAUUAGGUUGUCGGGCAGAGGAUCCUCAUCGUUUACUGUGAAAAAAUUAGAGUGUUCAAAGCAGGCUUAUGCCGUUGAAUACAUUAGCAUGGAAUAAUAAGAUAGGACCUCGGUUCUAUUUUGUUGGUUUCUAGAGCUGAGGUAAUGAUUAAUAGGGAUAGUUGGGGGCAUUCGUAUUUAACUGUCAGAGGUGAAAUUCUUGGAUUUGUUAAAGACGGACUACUGCGAANGNAUUUGCNGAGGAUGUUUNCAUUG